UCCCUGGCAGUCCAGUGGUUAGGACACAGGCUUUCACUACCGUGGACCCGGGUUCGAUUCCUAGCCAGGGAA
rnacentral:tRNA from 1 species